ACUGGAAGCCAGCAUCCCUGGGAGUGGUGCUAGAUGCCACUGUGUGCCACCAUGUCUGUGCCUUGCCUCAAUGACAACGGAGUGGCCAGUACUGACCAGCCUCUGGCCUAGGGGCUCGCACCAUCACCCUCAGCUGUGGGUUCUCGCUGGGGCCAUGUUCUGUGGAUCCGUCCAGGCCCCAUGCACAACCCAAAAGUUGUAGCGGGGGCAGGUUACACCCCAGAGGGGACUUCGGAUCAACGGGACAUGGAAGCACAGGUAAACUCCCCUUCCCCACCCCAGAUGGACUGCUGGAGGCACAAAAGUCUUACAGAGCCUCUCCAAAGACACCCAGUGAGAUGGACUCCUACAGGAAGGCAUCCCCGUACCCGUUCGCUCCCCUUCCCUCGCCCCUGCGUCUCUGGACCACACUCCGGCCUCCUUCAGAGACUUCAGCUAGAGACGUGAGUACCACACACGACCACGCUGUUUCCUGAUUCGGCGCCAGCAGACUGGGGCCCUGAGGGGUCCAGGCCCUCCCUCGGGGAGCAACACAGGAGGGCAUCUGCUUCUGGCCACACGUGUGCAAAGGCCACACACGCCCUGGGAGGGACAGCCAUGCACCGGACCUGUGCACACCUUUUGUGACCUGCUGUACCGUCCUUCUACCCACAAACUCCAGCUGUGCCCUAGAUGGCCUGCACGGACCCUGCAGCCCCCGGCCAUCUCCCCCAGAGCCCCCGGGACCCUGGGAGCUGCUGCUCUGACAGAGGGCCAGGGCCUCACCAUGAGGGCCGGAACCUGCUGUGAGCACCCAAAUGUCCCCCUCACUACGGGUCCCCUAUACUCUCAUGUUGGCCCAGGCCUGGGCAAGGGCUACACUCCUUCCCAAGUGCUUCUCCAGCUUCCUGUGCCAAGCCAUCCAGUGAGGCCCCGGGGAGGCCCGACACUGCCCAGUGGUCCUGCAAAGCACUCCCAGUCAAUGAGCUGAUGUUGUCGCCAACGGUUUACUGGAACAUUGUUGGGUAAGGAAUAUAAAUGACACUGACUCUGAUGCCUGCA